rnacentral:rRNA from 1 species
GGCUUCGGCUACCACUUCAGAUGGACCCGCGGCGCAUUAGCUAGUUGGUGAGGUAAGGCUCACCAAGGCAACGAUGCGUAGCCGACCUGAGAGGGUGAUCGGCCACACUGGGACUGAGACACGGCCCAGACUCCUACGGGAGGCAGCAGUAGGGAAUCUUCCGCAAUGGACGAAAGUCUGACGGAGCAACGCCGCGUGAGUGAUGAAGGUUUUCGGAUCGUAAAGCUCUGUUGUUAGGGAAGAACAAGUACCGUUCGAAUAGGGCGGUACCUUGACGGUACCUAACCAGAAAGCCACGGCUAACUACGUGCCAGCAGCCGCGGUAAUACGUAGGUGGCAAGCGUUGUCCGGAAUUAUUGGGCGUAAAGGGCUCGCAGGCGGUUUCUUAAGUCUGAUGUGAAAGCCCCCGGCUCAACCGGGGAGGGUCAUUGGAAACUGGGGAACUUGAGUGCAGAAGAGGAGAGUGGAAUUCCACGUGUAGCGGUGAAAUGCGUAGAGAUGUGGAGGAACACCAGUGGCGAAGGCGACUCUCUGGUCUGUAACUGACGCUGAGGAGCGAAAGCGUGGGGAGCGAACAGGAUUAGAUACCCUGGUAGUCCACGCCGUAAACGAUGAGUGCUAAGUGUUAGG